UCUUUAGCUACAGAUCCUGUGUGAGGUGAUUUCAUCAAGGUCUCUAUAGCUACAGAUCAGACCCUGUGUGAGGUGAUUUCAUCAAAGUCUCUAUAGCUACAGACCCUGUGUGAGGUGAUAUAUAGCUAGCAAUGUAAAUGUAGCUAGCAAAGUAAUGUAAGUCGCUCUGGAUAAGAGCGUCUGCUAAAUGACUUAAAUGAAAAUGAAAUGAAAUGAAAAUAUAUAGCUAGGGAGAAGACCCGUGUGAGGCGAUAUAUAGCUAGCGAGAAGACCUGUGUGAGGUGAUAUAUAGCUAGGGAGAAGACCUGUGUGAGGUGAUAUAUAGCUAGGGAGAAGACCUGUGUGAGGUGAUAUAUAGCUAGGGAGAAGACCUGUGUGAGGUGAUAUAUAGCUAGGGAGAAGACCUGUGUGAGGUGGAACUGGGAACCUAUAGAAUAGUCGUGAAAACUGCAAAUUCCACCCAUCUGGAACUGCCAAGCAGGCAAAUGCAAAAUGCUAAAAGUAUUUGAUUGAUUUCAAGUAGUGUUUAAACCCAGGUCUCCAUCCCAGUCGGUGACUGGUUAGACUGAAGCACUGCUGAGCUGGUUUUCUCGCAAAGCCCAG
rnacentral:lncRNA from 1 species